rnacentral:rRNA from 1 species
CCUACGGGUGGCAGCAGUGAGGAAUAUUUGUCAAUGGGCGCGAGCCUGAACCAGCCAAGUCGCGUGAGGGAAGACGGUCCUAUGGAUUGUAAACCUCUUUUGUCGGGGAGCAAAAGACGCCACGCGUGGCGUUCCGAGAGUACCCGAAGAAAAAGCAUCGGCUAACUCCGUGCCAGCAGCCGCGGUAAUACGGAGGAUGCGAGCGUUAUCCGGAUUUAUUGGGUUUAAAGGGUGCGCAGGCGGAAGAUCAAGUCAGCGGUAAAAUCGCGAGGCUCAACCACGUCGAGCCGUUGAAACUGGUUGGCUUGAGUGAGUGAGAGGUAUGCGGAAUGCGUGGUGUAGCGGUGAAAUGCGUAGAUAUCACGCAGAACUCCGGUGGCGAAGGCAGCAUACCGGCGAUCAACUGACGCUCAGGCACGAAAGUGUGGGGAUCGAACAGGAUUAGAUACCCUAGUAGUC